rnacentral:tRNA from 1 species
GUUGGCAUAGCUAAGACGGUAAAGCGCAGGACUGCAAAUCCUGAAAUACGAGAGUUCGAUUCUCUCUGCCAACUCCA